AUUGAACGCUGGCGGCAGGCUUAACACAUGCGAGUCGAGCGGAGAUGAGGUGCUUGCACCUUAUCUUAGCGGCGGACGGGUGAGUAAUGCUUAGGAAUCUGCCUAUUAGUGGGGGACAACAUUCCGAAAGGAAUGCUAAUACCGCAUACGUCCUACGGGAGAAAGCAGGGGAUCUUCGGACCUUGCGCUAAUAGAUGAGCCUAAGUCGGAUUAGCUAGUUGGUGGGGUAAAGGCCUACCAAGGCGACGAUCUGUAGCGGGUCUGAGAGGAUGGUCCGCCACACUGGGACUGAGACACGGCCCAGACUCCUACGGGAGGCAGCAGUGGGGAAUAUUGGACAAUGGUGGGAACCCUGAUCCAGCCAUGCCGCGUGUGUGAAGAAGGCCUUAUGGUUGUAAAGCACUUUAAGCGAGGAGGAGGCUACUGAGACUAAUACUCUUGGAUAGUGGACGUUACUCGCAGAAUAAGCACCGGCUAACUCUGUGCCAGCCGCCGCAGUAAGAC
rnacentral:rRNA from 1 species